CCUCACACCCCUCCCCUGGGGCACCCCAGUGAGCCCGUCCACUUCCUGCGGGGCUCCCGUUCUUGAGGGUGGUCGAGCUCAGGCCUGGCUUUCGUCAAACUCCACCCAUCCGGAAGGCUACAGGCCCCUGCGGAGGAGGAAGGGGGUCAGGGGAGGGGGUGGAAUUCUCCAGAUUUUCUCCCAGCUUCCAAAAGGCCUCCAGAGAGCUGGUUAUAUAAGAUUUCUUUAAAAAAAAAAAAAAAAAGUGUGGAAAGGAAAUUUUUGCAAAUAUUAAGGAGUGCCACUCAGGGCAAAUAUGGGGGUGAACAGGACAAGCCCCGAGCCCAGGAGCCCUGGGCGCUCCAGGUGGGCAGGGGGGCCCCAUCUCAUCGCUGCUGCGCGGCCUACCAAGCCAGCUCCUUCAACUGCACAGGGGAGGUAAUCACGGCACCUGCCUCCCAGGACUGUUAACGGAAAAUACACGUGUGCUGGCACGCCCCACACACUCACUGAACUACAGCCCCUGUGCGUGAGUUCUCAACUUCCCAGCCAUCUGCCUGCCCCUGCCCUCACCCCCGCGGCAGCCAGAGGGAUCCUGGUAAAGCCUGGGCUCCAUCGGGGGCCCACGCCGACUGACCAUCCACAGCGGUCUCCUCUCUGGUAACCCUCAUCCUCCCUGUGGCCAACUGGCUCUAGCUGCCCAAAGCCCGGCCCAUGUCUGUGCCCUCAGCCUGUCCACCACCGGGCCCCCGGCUCACCUGCCCAUCCUCUGCCGGAAACUCUCCUCUGUUUGGCUCCUUCCCACUCGGGUCUCGGUCCGAAUAUUGAUACCUAUAGUGCGCUGACUUUUGUGUUUGAUUCGAAUAUUUGUAUUUGCUUACAUCUUUCUAAAGAAACUCUGAAGGAUUCUUCAAAAACGAAGAACAGUGAUGGGGAAUGGGGAUGUGAGCAGGUAAGAGUGGAGGAAGACAGGGGCUUUUCAUCUUCUGGGUGUUGAAUCACAGGAGUGCUCUACGUGGUCACAAAAGUAAGUGUAUUCUUUUUUAAAAGAUUUUAUGUAUUUAUUUGAGACAGAGACAGCUUGAGUGGGGUGGGAAGGGGAGAGAGAGCAGGGAGCCCAAUGUGGGGCUCAAUCCCAGGACCCUGGGAACAGCCCCUGAGCCAAAGGAAGACGGGUAACUGACUGGGCCACCCAGGUACCCUAAAAAAAAGUACUGAUAAAUGGAUGAAUGCAUUUUUUUAAUCUCAGCCUUCUAAGAGAGGUUCUCCCAGACCAGACUUAGUAAAGCUGCCCUUUUCCACCACUCUUCACCUUUCACCUGCUUUAUUUUCCAG
rnacentral:lncRNA from 1 species